CUGAGCUUUCGCUCACCAUCCACCACUGCUGUUUGCCACUGUCGCAGACCCACCGCCGACUCCCAUCCCUCUGGAUCCGGCAGGGUGUCCGCUGAGCUCCUGAUACGGCGAGACUCCCAUUGCCACUCCCGAUCAUGCUAAAGGCUUGCCAUUGUUCCUGCAACGUUAAGUGCCUGGGUUCGUCCUAAUCGAGCUGAACACUAGUCACUGGGUUCCAUGGUUCUCUUCCGUGACCCACGGCUUCUAAUAGAGCUAUAACACUCACUGCAUGGCCCAAGAUUCCAUUCCUUGGAAUCCGUGAGGCCAAGAACCCCAGGUCAGAGAAGACGAGGCUUGCCACCAUCUUGGAAGCGGCCCGCCACCAUCUUGGAAGUGGCUCGCCACCAUCUUGGGAGCUCUGUGAGCAAGGACCUCCGGUAACAUUUUGGCGACCACGAAGGGACAUCCAAAGCUCUCACUAUCCUUGACAGAGAAGAAAGGACUUAGAACCGGAAUUCAACUUUGUGACCAUAAUCUUUGAGCACAGAGUAUUCAUUAUCCUGAGGCCGAGAAUUUCUGGAUGAAUGUGGUUAAAUCACUGGAACAAUAAAGCAAGACAGUUAAGAAAAGCACCUGGCACAAACUAUUCUACUUCUACUGUUCAUCGGUUGAAAUGGUCAUCAAAAUGUAAUAAGUUGAUCGAAGACUCUCAGAUAUUACUUUAGAAUAUAUUCCUUUUAUGAAAGCUGCAUCUGUAUUUGACUUGGUAAGAUAAUAAAUUCAAGAAAAGCCCAACUGGGACCUCUAACAUACUCUUCUACAAUAUAUGAAUUUUAUACUAAAUAAGACUAUAAUAUUCUCCUCUACAAGUGGAAACCACAUCCCCAUAGGAAAUCGAGAUGCUAAACUAUUAAUAGUUUACCCAGGUUUUCUCUGCCUACCAUGGAACCUUAAACUUCAUCACAGCCUAAGCACUGUAAAACAUUAUAAUUUAUGUUCAUAUAAAUGAAACUCUCUAGACAUUCUUCAUCUUGUCUACUACUUAAUGUUUCUGAUGUUUUUAAGACAGAGAAGUUCUCUGCAUUCAACCUGAGAAAAGACAAUGUCAAAAUAAAUUUAUAUAUCAAAUAAAUACUGUCAGAAGCAUUGCUAUAAGUCUGGUAAUGUUUUAAAAUGUUGUGCCAGUAA
rnacentral:lncRNA from 10 species